rnacentral:lncRNA from 1 species
UGUUGGAUACUUACUUAUCUAUCUUGGGCUGCACCUGCACCAUGUGGAAGUAUUCAGGCCAGGGAUUGAACCCACACCACAGUUGUGGCCUGCGCCACACCUGGGGCAAUGCUGGAUCCUUAACCUGUUGUGCCACAAGGGAACUUCCAGGAUACUAUUUUUCGAAAAGCAAAUACAUUUAUGUUGGGAAAAUACUAAAAAAAAUAUCUAAAAACAUUAGUAUUGAUUAUCUCUGAGUCUAUAUGUAUGUGUUAUUCAGUGUUUUUAGAGUUUUCUAUAUUGAUCAGUUUUAUUUCUGUAAUUAUAAAAGCAGAGACAGUGGUAUCAUUUUAAAGCUGAAGGAGCUAACAUUACUCUGCCGUCUGGCAGAGUCAGAUGGCAGGUGCUCGUUGCCCACACAGGGACCUUACAGUUUGCACUGAACUAUUGCAGAUGCUCUGCUCUGCCAUGAUGACGAGCUGGAAGGGCGCCGGAUCGCCUUCAUUCUUUACCUGGUUCCUCCCUGGGACAGGAGCCUGGGGGGCACCCUGGACAUGUACAGCGUUGAUGGUAAGACAAAGGCGUGCUCUCCAAGCCCAGCAACCGCUCUGAGUGCGCUCAGAGGAGCAACGGACACUCCUCAAAGGAGAUGGAAGCCAGUUCAUUAUAGUGACGACCGCAGGGAGAAUGAAUGGCAGCCCAACAACCACCUCUAAGUUGUGCUUGAAAUAAUCAUUACUCCGGAGAUAUUUAGAGUUGAUUUAAAAUGUGGGAUAGUCAGACCCUGCUUCUGAGUGCUGGCCAUGGAAGGGGAGAGGGCACCAAGUCCAGCUGCUUGUGGCUGUGAAUCUGCCAGGACCCAUCCAUUUGACAGGAGGGCAGGGUCUUUUAAUGACUGACACCAGAACUGGGCUCCAGAACAUGUUUAGAACUUUUCCAGCCUUCAUCAGUAAUGGAUGGUAUAGUAAGAACAGGUGGAAGGGUGGCAUUUGGGGAUCUGAAGGGGACAUCUUGAUGCCCUUAGAAAUUUGCAAAUUACGAGGUGGCCUAGAAAGGGUUACUAAUGAAGCAUGUUUGUGGGUAUGUUCUCUCCCGACCCAGAGCACUUUCAGCCGAAGCAGAUUGUCAAGUCCCUUAUCCCAUCAUGGAACACACUGGUUUUCUUCGAAGUAUCUCCAAUAUCCUUUCACCAGGUGUCUGAAGUCCUGUCUGAAGAGAAGUCUCGUUUGUCUAUCAGUGGCUGGUUUCAUGGUCCUUCGCUGACCAGGCCUCCCACCUACUUUGAACCUCUCCUACCUCGGAGCCCUCACAUCCCACAAGAUGUAAGAUAAAUCCCUCAUCUUAGAAACUGGCCUGUCUUUCUUUAUGUCUUGCUGGUUCUUUAUGUUUAUUUUUUGGCCAUGCC